AUGCAUGAAUAUCCCUUCAAUAUUGUUGAGCAUGAAUACUUCCGUGACUUCAUCAAAUCCUUGCGCCCUUCAUUUCCUCUGAAGAACCGUAACACUGUUAGAAAUGAAAUAGUGGCUAUGUUUGAAACAGAAAAGGAUAAGCUGUAUGAGUAUUUCAAAACAAUUAACUGUCAUUUUAGCACCACAAUGGACAUGUGGACAUCAAAUCAGAAUGAAGGGUACAUGUUUGUCACUGUGCAUUGGAUUGAUGAUGAAUGGAUUAUUCAGAAAAGGAUCAUCAAAUUU
rnacentral:rRNA from 1 species